CCCUUAGAUGUUCUGGGCUGCACACGUGCUACACUGGCAGGUUCAGCGAGCUUCAUGCCCUGAUCUGAAAGGAAUGGGAAAUCUUUUCAAAACCUGCCGUGCUUGGGAUAGAUGUUUGCAAUUAUUCAUCUUCAACGAGGAUUGCCUUGUAAGCGCACGUCAUCAGCGUGCAUCGAAUACGACCCUGUAUUCUGUACACACCGCCCGUCGCUCCUACCGAUUGAAGUUUUCGGUGAGUUGACAGGAGGAUUUUUUUGAAACUGGUUCGCCAGUGGAUUUUAGAUCCAAAUGCCAACGAAUCGAUGGCUUUAGAGGAAGGAGAAGUCGUAACA
rnacentral:rRNA from 1 species